rnacentral:rRNA from 1 species
CACGCCGUAAACGAUGGGUGCUAGGUGUCGCGGGCUUUGACCCCUGCGGUGCCGUAGCUAACGCAUUAAGCACCCCGCCUGGGGAGUACGGCCGCAAGGCUAAAACUCAAAGGAAUUGACGGGGGCCCGCACAAGCGGUGGAGCAUGUGGUUCAAUUCGACGCAACGCGCAGAACCUUACCUGGGCUAGAAAAUGCAGGAACCUGGUCGAAAGGUCGGGGUGCUCUUCGGAGAACCUGUAGUUAGGUGC